GAUGAACGCUGGCGGCGUGCCUAAUACAUGCAAGUCGAGCGAACAGACGAGGAGCUUGCUCCUCUGACGUUAGCGGCGGACGGGUGAGUAACACGUGGAUAACCUACCUAUAAGACUGGGAUAACUUCGGGAAACCGGAGCUAAUACCGGAUAAUAUAUUGAACCGCAUGGUUCAAUAGUGAAAGACGGUUUUGCUGUCACUUAUAGAUGGAUCCGCGCCGCAUUAGCUAGUUGGUAAGGUAACGGCUUACCAAGGCAACGAUGCGUAGCCGACCUGAGAGGGGGACCGGCCACCCUGGACCUGACAACGGCUCCAACCCCCUACGGAAGCGACAAGGGGGGAAUUUUGCGCAAUGGCGGAAAGCCUGACGGGCCAACCCCGGGGGAGGGAGGAAGUUUUUCGGCUCUAAAAACCUUUUUAUGGGGGAAAAACAAAUUGGAAAGUCAAAAUGCCCGUUUUGAGGGUACCUAACCAGAAGCCCCCGGCUACCUCCGU
rnacentral:rRNA from 1 species